rnacentral:rRNA from 1 species
GAUGAACGCUGGCGGCGUGCCUAAUACAUGCCAGUCGAGCGAACAGACGAGGAGCUUGCUCCAGUUUCGUUCUGGGCGGUCGAGUGAGUAGUGAGUGGAUGACGUGCGUGUAAGACUUGGGUAACUUGGGGAAACGGGGGCGAAUACCGGUUAAUACAGUGAACAAUACGGUUCAAUAGUUAAAGCCGCUUGUUGUGUCGUUGAUAGAUGGUUCCGGGCUGCAUUAGCUAGUUGGUAAGGUAAGGGCUUACCAAGGCGAGGAUGCGUAGCCGACCUGAGAGGGUGAUCGGCCACACUGGAACUGAGACACGGUCCAGACUCCUACGGGAGGCAGCAGUAGGGAAUCUUCCGCAAUGGGCGAAAGUCUGACGGAGCAACGCCGCGUGAGUGAUGAAGGUCUUCGGAUCGUAAAACUCUGUUAUUGGGGAAGAACAAAUGUGUAAGUAACUAUGCACGUCUUGACGGUACCUAAUCAGAAAGCCACGGCUAACUACGUG